UGACAGGUUAUCAAUGAUGUAGCACAACCAGCAUCAUUAUUCAAACGACCUGACCCACAGUCGGGUCGUUAUAGAGAUAUAUAUUUGUGUGCGAAUGUUUUUAUAAACAUCGGGAUCUUCACAUCCCUCCAGGUGAUCCCUGAAUAAAGACCUUAAACCCCA